rnacentral:rRNA from 1 species
UAAAGUUGUUGCAGUUAAAAAGCUCGUAGUUGAAUUUCGGGUCAGUAGGUUGGUCGUGCCUAUGGUAUGUACUGGCUUUACUGAUUCCUCUUUCUUGAAGAACUGUAAUGUCAUUAAUUUGGUGUUGCAGGGAAACAGAACUGUUACUUUGAAAAAAUUAGAGUGUUUAAAGCAGGCUAACGCUUGAAUACAUUUGCAUGGAAUAAUGAAAUAGGACGCUCGAUCCUAUUUUGUUGGUUUCUAGGAUUGACGUAUUCAUUAAUAGGG